CCAAUGACUUCUGGACUGUAAUCUGCAGAAGAGUCAGACUCCCGAUCUGUCUCCCCAACUGCAGUCCACUGUCUCCUUCCGGUGAUUGUCCUGACCGGGACGUCCCGGGACUCCGACAGAGAGGGAAUACUCACAGGAGGAGAGGAGCUCUCUCACAAGCAGAGCGCACUGAGAACAGAGAGAGGAAGUGCAUCUCUGGGAGGAAGUGGGGAGGUGAAGUCAGCAGGGUUUGCGAGACCUGAACCCUGAAUCUGAGUGACAGAUAUCUGAAAGUUCCUGACGCCCAUGCAGUUCUAGGAGGUCGAGAAAAAAAUCUGGAAAUCUGAUUUGCCGAUGAGCAGGAGACAAGAAUCGUGACAAUAAACCUGAUCAGGAAAUGAAAAGGGGGCAACGGAUCGAGAAUCUGAAUGAGAACCCGACAUUUCCUUCAGAAAACUCAGAGACCCAACAAUAAUCUGUCCAGAAAACUGAGAAAACUCCCAGAAGUAGAUCUGAAACUAUUGUGAGGUCACGCACAGACACACACACACAUAUACACACACAGACACACAUAUACACACACGCAUUCAUCAGCAAUCAGUCAGUUGAGCUGUUCUGCAGAUGCAUGAAAGGUCAAAGCAGAUGAGGAGAGAGGGGUGAGGGAAGGAAGGAAGGAAGCCUCGAUUUGUGUUUUCAUGAAGUUCUAAUCUGUCCAUAUGUUAUGUUAUUGAUACCACAACUCCUGAGGAGUUUCAGGUCUUUAGAAACAGUAUUUAAACCACCAUGAGACACUGAAGCUCUUUAUUGAAAACAAUAUCAAAUAUGUGGCGUCAACUUACUCAACAUACCUUAAAGGGGGACUCGAGCAGAAAUGUGCACUACUUUCAUUGUAUAUUCUCCACGGUGAUUAU